AGGGGUUUAGCUCAGUGGCUUAAGCGCCUGCCUGGCAAGCAUGAGGUUGUAAGUUCAAUCCCUG
rnacentral:tRNA from 1 species